UACGGAGGGUGCAAGCGUUGUUCGGAAUCACUGGGCGUAAAGCGCGUGUAGGCGGCCUCUUAAGUCUGGUGUGAAAGCCCGGGGCUCACCCCCGGAAGGGCACUGGAUACUGGGAGGUUAGAGUACCGGAGAGGAGGGUGGAAUUCCUGGUGUAGCGGUGAAAUGCGUAGAUAUCAGGAGGGACACCGGUGGCGAAGGCGGCCCUCUGGACGGCUACUGACGGUGAGACGCGAAAGCGUGGGGAGCAAACAGG
rnacentral:rRNA from 1 species